GGAAGUAAAAGUCGUAACAGGGUCUCCGUUGGUGAACCAGCGGAGGGAUCAUUACUGGAAUCGCAAGAUCCCACAACCCUGUGAACCUACCGAAACGUUGCCUCGGCGGGUGCCCGGCCUCUGCGCCGGGCGCUGCGCCCGCCGGCGGCCCCCUACUCUGUCUCUGCAGCGUGGCAUCUCAGAGUCCCAGAAAACAAGUCAAAACUUUCAACAACGGAUCUCUUGGCUCUA
rnacentral:misc_RNA from 1 species